rnacentral:rRNA from 1 species
AAGCUGCCUUGUUGACUUGCCCCAGUCAUAGAUCACCGUGGUGACCGAUAGCCUCGCCUGCAGUUGGGCUAACUACUUCUAGUAAAACCCCUCUCCAUGGUGUGAUGACAGGCGGUGCCUGAGAGUACGGAACGUGUUCUGUUGUGCUGAUCCGCGAUUACAGGUUCAGGUAACUGCAAUCGAGGUCCAGACUGCGAUCCGGACUACGAUCGGAGUUUCAGGAUUGAAGCCCUUCUUCGGGUUGGCGACCCUCUGUCCAGCUCGUGCCAAUAUGACGAUGGCGGAAAUUUUCCAUAAGGGCCAUGGGGACUUGACGUCAUCCCCACCUUCCUCCAGGUUUGUCACCCGGCAGCCGUCUCGUGAAGUGCCCUUUCGCUAAUGACAGGGUUGCUCAUUGCGGGACCACAGCGGCAUCUCUGACUGACAAUAACAGCCAUGCGGCACCUGUGUUCCCAGUUUCUAAAGAGCACCCCAAAUCUCGGGAUUCCAGACAUGUCAAGGGUAGGUAAGGUUCGCGUUGCAUCACCGUUAAUCCACAUCAUCCACCGCUUGUGCGGGUCCCCGUCGAAUUCCUUUGAGUUUAAUAUUUGAUGUGUCUCCCAGGCGAGUCAACUUCACGCGUUAAUUUGCGCCCUGAAGGCCCGAAGGCCCCAACAGCUAGUUGACAUCAUUUAGGGCGUGAACUACAGGGUAUCUAAUAUAAUCUUGCUCCACGCUUUCGUGCACUGGUGGCGUCGUGUUAUCCCGAAACGCCUUGCCAUCCGGUGUUCCUCCGCAUAUCUACGCAUUUCACUGCUACACCGCGGAAUUCCACCUCCCUCGGCCCACCUCCUAAGCCAUUGAUUAAAAUGCAGUUCAAAGUUGAAAACGGGAUUUCACAUCUUCUUUCGAACCGCCUGCACGCUUUACAUAAUCAAUUCCGAUUAACGCUUGCACCCUACGUAUUACCGCGGCUGCUGGCGUAUUCGCUGGUGCUUAUUCUGCGGUAUAUCGGUUUUAUUACGAACAUUAUCCACGUACCGUUUCUUUCCUGCAAAAAAAGUGCUUUAACGGCGAGAGCAUUAUCACCACGCGGGAUGGCUGGAUCAGGUUUCCCCAUUGUCCGUCCCCACUGCUGCCUACAGUCUGGGCCGUGUCUCAGUCAGUGUGGCUGUGUCGUCCUCUCAAGCCUUCGCUGGAUCAUCGCCUUGGUGAGCCAUUACCCACCAACUAGCUAAUCCGAUAUCGGCCGCUCUAAUAGUGCGAAGGCGAGUCCCCGCUUUCCCCCCGAGAGGCGUAUACGUAUUAGCUACCUUUCGCGUAGUUAUCACCGCUACUAUGAUGACGUUCCGAUGUCAUUACUCACCCGUUCGCCACUCGCCACCAGUUAGUCCGUGCUGCCUGUUCGUGGCUUACCGUAAUGGCAUCCACCAGCGGACUAAUCUGAGCCAGAAUCGAACCA